UAUCUUAAUCCCAAAAUAGUACUGAGUAAUUCUAUAAUUAUAUAGAAAAUUUUAUGUUAAAACUAGUAACAAGAAGAAAACCCUUCUCUUAAAUGCAAGUGUAAAUCAGGAAGGAUAUACCACUGAUAUUUAACAUCCUUGAACCUGAAAUAGUAACCUAUCAAGAAAAGCCUACUCUCACCAAUGUUAACCUAACACAAGAGCAUUACAAGAAAGAUUAAAAGAAAAAGAAGGAACUCGGCAAAUUUUAACCUCGCCUGUUUACCAAAAACAUCGCCUCUUGAACCCUUAUAAGAGGUCCAGCCUGCCCAGUGACUCUGUUCAACGGCCGCGGUAUCCUAACCGUGCGAAGGUAGCGUAAUCACUUGUUCUUUAAAUGUGGACUAGUAUGAAUGGCAUCACGAAGGUUAUACUGUCUCCUUUUUCUAAUCAGUGAAACUAAUCUCCCCGUGAAGAAGCGAGGAUAAAACUAUAAGACGAGAAGACCCUAUGGAGCUUUAAACAUUUAUAACACUUGCUAAAUAAAAUACAAAUUUCAGAAUUAUUUACUCUUUAAGCAACUUGUCUAUAAGUUUUUGGUUGGGGUGACCGCGGAGCAUAAUACAACCUCCAUGUUGAAAGAUCUAUUUCUAAGCUAAGAGCUACACCUCUAAGCAUCAACAUAUUGACAUCCAUUGACCCAAUAUAUUUGAACAACGAACCAAGUUACCCUAGGGAUAACAGCGCAAUCCACUUCAAGAGCUCCUAUCGACAAGUGGGUUUACGACCUCGAUGUUGGAUCAGGGUUUCCCAGUGGUGCAGCCGC
rnacentral:rRNA from 1 species